rnacentral:rRNA from 1 species
UACGUAGGGGGCAAGCGUUGUCCGGAAUUAUUGGGCGUAAAGAGCUCGUAGGCGGUUUGUCGCGUCUGCUGUGAAAACUCGGGGCUUAACCCCGGGCCUGCAGUGGGUACGGGCAGACUAGAGGUCGGUAGGGGAGUGUGGAAUUCCUGGUGGAGCGGUGAAAUGCGCAGAUAUCAAGAGGAACACCCGUAGCGAAGGCGGCACUCUGGGCCGAUUCUGACACUGAGGAGCGAAAGCGUGGGGAGCGAACAGG